rnacentral:rRNA from 1 species
GAUGAACGCUGGCGGCGUGCCUAAUACAUGCAAGUCGAGCGAAUGGAUUAAGAGCUUGCUCUUAUGAAGUUAGCGGCGGACGGGUGAGUAACACGUGGGUAACCUGCCCAUAAGACUGGGAUAACUCCGGGAAACCGGGGCUAAUACCGGAUAACAUUUUGAACCGCAUGGUUCGAAAUUGAAAGGCGGCUUCGGCUGUCACUUAUGGAUGGACCCGCGUCGCAUUAGCUAGUUGGUGAGGUAACGGCUCACCAAGGCAACGAUGCGUAGCCGGCCUGGGAGGGUGAGCGGCCACACGGGGCCGGGGACCAGGCCCAGACUCCUACGGGAGGUAGCAGUAGGGAAUCUUCCGCAAUGGAGGAAAGUCUGACGGAGCAACGCCGCGUGAGUGAUGAAGGCUUUCGGGUCGUAAAACUCUGUUGUUAGGGAAGAACAAGUGCUAGUUGAAUAAGCUGACACCUUGACGGUACCUAACCAGAAAGCCACGGCUAACUACGUGCCAGCCGCCGCAGUAA